CCAGGGAGCCCUACCUGCUUGGGAGAGGGCAGCACACGCCCUCCGGGUCCCCAGGAGCCCUACCUGUACGGGUCAUGGAUGAUGCCCCUGUAGAUCCACUUCUCC